AAGGAGAAUUGAUGUCCUCGGAGAACUUCCGCUUGCCUCUUGCCAAUGGCGGUUAAGCUGUGGCCAAAGGAAUCCAGCCUUCUGUCGGGACAUUUCCGACCUCAGCCAGCUCAUCCUCUGGCAUGCGGAAGUAAGCAUGAGCUGCCUGGCUGCGGGACCAAUCUUGAACCUGUAACCAUCAUGAUGACCCAGUCGUUCACUGGACAAGAGUUUGGAACCCUUUGAGGAUCUCCAGGCUCAGGCUGAGUGGGGCUGGACUCCUGGCAUCCUCAGUCCAUGUCAGGACACACAGGACACUGGUGCAGCUUCAUUCUAGACUGAAUCACCAAAGAGCAAGCACGGGCUGGACCUAGGCCCCCUGCAUAUAUAUAGCAGAUGAGCCACUUGAUCUUCAUGCAGGUCUCCCAAACAACUGGAGCUGGGGCUGUCCCUGAGUCUGUUGCCUGCUUGUGGAUGCUGCGCCCCUAAAUGGACAGUCUUGUCUGGCCUGGGUGGGAGAAGAUGUGCCUACUCCUCCUGCAGGGACUUGAUGUGCAGGGGGCGGGGGUGGGGGAGUGACAUUUGAGAUGGGGGCUUCCCCUUCUCUUUGAGAAGGGGGAUGGGGGAAGGACCUGCAUAAGGGGGUAUUGGGAGGAGAGCGAGAGCUGAUAUUGGGUUGUAAAGGGAAUAAAUUUAAUAAAAAAAUUA
rnacentral:lncRNA from 1 species